rnacentral:rRNA from 1 species
AUUGAACGCUGGCGGCAGGCUUAACACAUGCAAGUCGAGCGAGCGGCGGGCGGGUUAGUAAUGUCUGGGAAACUGCCUAAUGGAGGGGGAUAAAUACUGGAAACGGUAUCUAAUACCGCAUACCAGCAGAUCAGCACAUAUGGGAUGAGCUCGUCGGUGGGGUAAUGGCUCACCUAGGCGACGAUCCCUAGCUUGUCUGUGAGGAUGACCAGCCACACUGUAACUGUGACACGGCCCCGACUCCUACGGUAGGCAGCAGUGGGGAAUAUUGCACUGUGGGCGCAAGCCUGAUGCAGCCAUGCCGCGUGUGUGAAGAAGGCCUUCGGGUUGUAAAGCACUUUCAGCGAGGAGGCGUUACUCGCAGAAGAAGCACCGGCUAACUCCGUGCCAGCAGCCGCGGUAAUUC